GAUGAAGAACGUAGCGAAAUGCGAUAAGUAGUGUGAAUUGCAGAAUUCAGUGAAUCAUCGAAUCUUUGAACGCACAUUGCGCCCCUUGGUAUCCCGAGGGGCAUGCCUGUUCGAGCGUCAUUUCACCACUCAAGCCUGGCUUGGUGUUGGGCGACGUCCCCUUUAGGGACGCGCCUCGAAACGCUCGGCGGCGUGGCACCGGCUUUAAGCGUAGCAGAAUCUUUCGCUUUGGAAGUCGGGGCCCCGCCUGCCGGAAUACCUACUCGUAAGGUUGACCUCGGAUCAGGCAGGGAUACCCGCUGAACUUAAGCAUAUCAAUAAGCGGAAGA
rnacentral:misc_RNA from 1 species